AUUGAACGCUGGCGGCAUGCUUUACCCAUGUACGUCGAACGGAAGCUCGGGUUUAGGUCUGGCGGCGCGAGGCGGCCGGGUGAGUAAUGCACCCGAACGUCCCCAGUUGUGGGGGAUAGCAAAGCGAACGGGGGACUCAUACUGGAUACGACCUGCGGGUGCAAGAGGGGGACCGCAAGGCCCUGCGGGCUUGGAGCGGUGGAUGUCGGCACAGCCAGAUAGAGGCGUAGAGGCUUACCAAGGCGACGUACCGUAGCUGGUCUGAGAGGCCGACCAGCCACACUGGGACUGAGGCACGGGCCAGACUCCCACAGGAAGCAGCAGUGGGGAAUAUUUGACGAUGGGGGCAACCCUGAUCCAGCCAUGCCGCGUACGGGAAGAAGGCCCUCGGGGUGUAAAGCGCGUUUGUUCGGAAAGAAAUCCUCUGGUCUAAUACCCCGUGGGUAUGACGGUACCGGAAGAAUAAGCACCGGCUAACUACGUG
rnacentral:rRNA from 1 species